rnacentral:rRNA from 1 species
AUUGAACGCUGGCGGCAGGCCUAACGCAUACAAGUCGAGCGGCAGCGGGAAAGUAGCUUGCUACUUUUGCCGGCGAGCGGCGGACGGGUGAGUAAUGCCUGGGAAAUUGCCCAGUCGAGGGGGAUAACAGUUGGAAACGACUGCUAAUACCGCAUACGCCCUACGGGGGAAAGCAGGGGACCUUCGGGCCUUGCGCGAUUGGAUAUGCCCAGGUGGGAUUAGCUAGUUGGUGAGGUAACGGCUCACCAAGGCGACGAUCCCUAGCUGGUCUGAGAGGAUGAUCAGCCACACUGGAACUGAGACACGGUCCAGACUCCUACGGGAGGCAGCAGUGGGGAAUAUUGCACAAUGGGGGAAACCCUGAUGCAGCCAUGCCGCGUGUGUGAAGAAGGCCUUCGGGUUGUAAAGCACUAUCAGCGAGGAGGAAAGGUCAGUAGCUAAUACCUGCUGGCUGUGACGUUACUCGCAGAAGAAGCACCGGCUAACUCCGUGCCAGCCGCCGCCGUAACAC